CACCCUGCUUCCCACUCCAGUUGGGUGGAAUGCAUAUGUAGAGUAAGGCUGAAACAAAUCAGUGCAGUCUUUGUCCCAUUGUAGUUAUCGUUAGCUCCAAUGUUAUUUUUGCACCAGUAUUUUAAUCACAGGAUAAGAAAUCUGUCCACAAUGUAAUUAAAAUGUAAAGAUGAUAAAAAUAUAUAUAUACAAUUUUGUAAAUAAAUACCCGGCAGGAGAUUAAAAUUGCAUCACUGUUUUUGCAGCAAGAUAAAAACAUCUGCAAAGUUCAUGGCUAGAAUUGCUGUGAGAAUAGGUGCUGUGUCUUAAUUGUACAAAAAUGGCACUAAUGGCAAAACCUGAAUCAUGACUGGCUUCCCCUAAAUCUAGAAUUUCUUAAGUCUGUGUUAAAGAACACAACUUAGGAACAAAUACUGACUGUUCCCUUUGCAGCGUAAUGACAGUUCAUCCUCUCAGUUUCCAAUUUGGCUUAUUUGUCUUCUAGUUUACUUUAAGGGUAUGUUACCUGUAGAUCAGCAUAUUUAGAUAAGGUGAACCUCUCAAUCAUUUUAAUUCUCAAGGAUUAAAUGAGGAAGUUUAGUUUAAUGGAAAAAUUUGAAGCUAAGUCUUCUUCUAAGAAUGAUUUAAAAUAUCAGAAUAUCUGUGUAUGAGAUAAAGCUUGUAUAUAGCUGGUCUGCACUGUGGGUAUUGAUGUAAUGACUUAGGAUGCUAACAAAAAUCUGAUCUGAUCUCUGCUAACAAAAAUCAGAUCUCAAAAUCUGAUUGAGAUCAGAUUUAGUAGUUUAAAAUUAACAAAGGAAAGGAUACUGCACAGGUAUACUUGUAUUUUAUAGGGUAGAUAUUUAGUAUUUCCUGGUGUAGUAUUUAUUUGAACGCACAAAUAAUGAAUUUAAGAAAUCUGCUGUACAGCAUACAUGGUGUUAAGAAAAUGAAUUCUUGCCUGUUGUCCUCCAAAACAAACUAUGCAAAUACCAUUUCCUCUUCAGUGACAGCAGUGUUUUAAAUAGGGUUAACACUGUUGUUUUUUUUUUCAGCUGCCACAACAGGGCAGCAGCAGUGAUUCCUCUCUACUAAUGGUCUUAGUAACCUCUUUGUAUGUGCCGAAUUUCAAUAGUCCAGUUUGGCCUGAGGAGCAAGGGUAAUAGCUUUACAGCAGCCUUAAAACUAUAGCUGUGUUCAGUGCAGUAGUCAGCUAUGCUCAGUGUAUUAAAUACUGAGAAAACAGCAGCAGUCUUUAUAGCACAUACAACAUGCGGUUCCUUCAUCAGAUCCAUAAAUUCUCCUCCACACAGAGUAAAACUGCCUUGAGAUUUCUGCCAGAAGUCAGAACCAAGAUGACUUGGACUAAACCCUGCUCCUCCUACUCAAAAACUAUUCCUGUAUGGGUGGUAUCCCAGGAGGAGGCACAGGAGAACAGAAUGAGGAGCAUGCACAAUUAUAUGAGCACUUCAGUGUGGAUUUUUGUUUUAAUCUUUAAUAGGAAUCUGGAAAACAAACAAACAAAAAACUAUCUGAGCCAGUAUGUAUUCAAAAAUCUGCAUUUUACUGUCAUCUGGUAAAUAAUACUGUUGUCCCCAGAGUGGAGAUCAGCAAAAAUUCAUGGUUUAGGUUCAUUUUUCUUUCAAAGGAGUUGGAGGCAAAAUGAACAUUUUUAGAUUGUGUCAUGGAGGCCUGCUGUAUGUGCUUGUUCUAAUGUGAGAGAAAUUGGAAAAUACAAUUUAAAAAUAAUUUUGAAACUUUAUUGGUGGUGGUACUUUUGGGAAAAUCCAGUAGCUUUUACUGGGAAUUAGAUUUACAGGAGCCUGCAGAAUUAAAAAAAAAUGGGUAUAUAGAGCUCAUGUAGCCUUGAUCCUCUUUUAGUCCUUUAGUAUUUGUUUAUAAAACUGUAUUACAGAUGACAAAGUGUAUCUUCUGCUCUUUCAGAACUACAGGUAGCUAACAUAUUUGCAAUUGAGUAUUUUGGUUUUUAUAAUUUUGUUUAAAAUUAUUUAAUACUUUGCUGUAGGACUAGUAGAAUCUUAGAAAAAUGCUGUGAAAAGCCAGACCGCAAAUGGAGUGAGCAGUGAUGGAAUUCCCACACAUUUAGACUGGUAAAAAGUAAAAUUAAUAACAAUUAUAACUGUCAUUUUUCAUUCUCAAAAGUUCUCUUUUUUCCAGCUUCCUCUUAUGUAAUCAUAAAGAUACACAGAUUGACUCUGGCAUAAAAGUUGACAUUAUCUCGGUUUGUAAAUCUUGUGACUUGGUGUGGGCAUUCGAUGACUGCUCUUACUAUAGGCCUACUCCCAGUGAUCAAAUCCAUAGAGAAACAGGUGGGUGCAGGACACCACUGAAAGAAUGCUGAACAUCUUCACUGUCGUUUAUAGUUAAAGAGAGAUGAAGGUGGUUUGCCUCUUAGCAAAUGUAGCUCUUGUGGAGUGGCAGAAAAAUGUAUGAAGAGUUAGUAAAUAACCCCAGAUGAGUACAUUAGUCAAGAGCUGUUCCUAUAUACCAACUUGUCAAGUAUUUUUUUUUUUUGGUUCAGUUUGAUGCAGCCAUCACAUGUAAUAUAUGCUAUUUUGAUUAAGAAGUAAAAUGAAACAUAAUACUAAAUAAGUAGCUUAUAAUAUGUCUUAACAGUUGAAGGCAGUGGUUUAUAUAACACGGUGAACUUUCUGCUCAGCAAUACAUAAAAGCUAGCUUGCUCUAUUUUUCUAGCUGAUGUAUGCACAGCACUAAUAAUAGGCCUUACGAAUCACAAGCAUUCAUUAAGCGAGCCAACAGAUGUUUUAAAGAGACAAUAGUUGAGAUCUAGACUGUUUGAAGUGAACAAGUAGAUGUUGUUAAAAAUAGUGAAUCUUUACAAAAUGUUACAGUAACGUGCUGCUUAACAUUGAAGAUGCAAAACCAGUAUGUUAAUUAGUGGAUUAGUGAAAACAUCUUUUGAGACCAAACUUAAACCUGUCUUCCUGGUUUCGAAAUGAAUUUGGAAUGCUUGACUUUCUCAUGAUUGCCCCAAGGGAAAAUAGGACAGUUUGUUUGUUUGUUUUCUCAGGAAGGCACAGUUUAGACAUAGCAUUUGGUUUUCAAUGUAGAGCUGUUUUGCACUUAGUUAUCCAGCUGGCUUGUUAAGGGUACAAUUAAAUAAAUGAUUUGCUCUGGAUCACUAAGUGAAUCAGUGACUUGACUGGGAGAAAAAAAUUGGACUGGGAAAACUGAAAAUACCAGUUCCCAUUGCAGAACAAUUUCUCAGUAGCACUUAAGUAAAUUAGAGGGAUAACUUACUGUAUUUCACAGUCAUCCACACAAACCACCAGCAAUGUGUAGACUAAGUUCCCAUUGGUAGAGAAAUGUGGAUGCAGAAGGAGAACUGAAUGAAGUUAACUCUUCAUGUGAUAGAUGUCUGAACAGAUUUAUCAGACCAAGAACAGAUGAUAAAUCAAAAUUUAUUUUUUAAAGCCAUUUGUUUUUGUAGAUAUCACUGCUAGGGGAAAGUUCAACUGAAUAAUGAAUCUUUCAUGUUUAGCUUUAUUUUACUAGCCUAGUAAAAUUGUGUAAAAAGUAAAAAGUAAAUUGUGAGUUGCAAUUCUAGGACUUUUCUCAUUUAUAAUGAUUCAACUUGGUGUGGGUUUUGAUUCUGGGUUGGCUUUUUGCUUAAUUAGUUUUUCCUAUUUUUGGCAGUGUGAAGUUUUGUCAAUACUAUCAUGCUGGUAUGAUGACACUGAUUUUUUUUUUCCAAUAGGUUUAAUUAAUGCAAAUGGCUUUUGCCUGUUGCAUGCAUAGAUUGCUGGUUGCAAUAAUAAGAUGUCAUCUUCAGUGAUGACAGAAGGCAAUCAGGCAUGCACAUGGGCUCAUAAUUAACAUUACAGAUUUUGCUGGUAGUGUUUAGUGGUAGUAAAUGAAUAGUGAAAAUUAGCAUAUUCUGAUUUGGUUUCAGGGGCAGUAUGUGAAUGCACUCCAGUGAGGAUAAAGGCUCCUGCAACAGGUUUCAAACCUCUCCUUUCUUCCAGAUCACAGCUCACUUCUUCAGGCCUCUCACUCCCUCCAGCAUUAUUUUUCCACCAGUUUUUCAUCUUCCUGGCCUCCCCAUUUCUUCAGGCUCAGUCUCCUGGCUAGGCCAGUGCUGGCUUUCUCCUUGGCUUGCUGCCUGAGUCCCCUGCUGAACUCAGGAUGUGGUUCUGCCAAUCUAAUUGUGGGCUGCUACUGAAAGAAGUACUCUCAUUCCUCUGACUGUCUCCCCUGGUCUCCCUUGUGAGCUGAGUCAGGGAAGUAAACUUGUAUGAUUAUAUGACUGAUUGUCUUUCAGAUCAGCUUUCUUAGUCACUUCAUGGUGUAAAAUGAAUAAUGCUAAAAAUUACAGCCAGGGUUGGAGGGGAGAGUGCAAUAAGGUGAGAAUGGACCAUUUCUUUCAGCAGCACUUCACAACUAAAGUGAGUUUCAUCAUAAAACUUUAUUUUCAGCUCCAAACUCCUUAGUGUGUCUUUCAUUGUGUGUUUCAUCUCUGCUCUGUAUCCCCUCCUCUUCAGACUCUUGAUUUGUCCUUGUCCUUUUUGCUUCUGUCUCAUUUGUGGACCAGCUGAUGCCAACCAUCUCACCCUACGUCUUUUUCUGCCUCAGUCCUUCACUGGUCUCCUGCAGCAGACACUGUGUCUUCUCACCAGCAUGGCCCAUGGUCCAUCACUCGAUUACUGUUGGGAAAGUAUUUGCUGAAAGUGGGAGAAAAUUUGGCAGUUAAGACCUUAUUUUUAUAAACUUUUCUCAAGCCAUUUUUAAGAGGCUCUUCUACUUAGCUAUGAAAAAGCAUCUGAAAUUUAACUGCUUGUGCUAUAAAAUGGUCAAAAUUCAUGUCCUAGUAGAUAUGAAAUUCCUACCAACUGAGCUUUCCUCAUUUCAAGCUGUUUGUGUUAAAAAUAAGCUGUGAAAUAGUUUUCAACAAUAGUUUGAGAGGUUUUUUUUCCCCUACUGUAAACAAAUGCUGAAUAUCUGGGCAACAGUCUCCUUUGCGUAAUGCAAGUCAGCUCCCAUUGACUUCACAGGAGUUAUAUAUGAGAGCAGAAUCUUGUCUCUGUGAAUAAAGGAGUUUUUUCAACAGUGAGGGGGCUCUGCACAAUGAAUGCAUUUUUACCAGCCCUUUCUGAUUCACUGGCAGAGUACCAAACACAAGAACUGUUUCUGUAGUCUUUUUGCUCUCACAAUGACCGACAUUUUCUUUUUCAUUUUUAGUGGGAAGUCUUUUGUGUUGGUUUUUUUUUUCCUCGUGAAAGUUUGUCUUAUGUUUCUUGCUAUUUUGUACAAUGGAGUAGAGUAUUUCUCAGUCAUAGUAUUUUUGAAAUCGGUUCCCUCUCUGACUUUGUCAAAUACUAGUUCUUGUUUUAUUCUUCCUAAGGACAAAGAAGCAGGUUUGGGUCUGACUUAAGGAUGCAUCUCUUGCAGUUCAAACACUAGAACUGAACUGGAUGGACUCCUGUGGAAGUUAUAGUAGCCAUCACUUGCCAAUGUUGUGUCUGGGUGUCAUACACCCUAGGCACACAGCUGGAGAAGUGGAUGGCUUUGAAGUUAUCAGGAACUGUCUGAUGGACCUUUAAUAACACAAAAUACAUUUAUUGCGUGCCCUCUGUAGUGUCUUCUAUACUAUAGCAAAUGUGAUUCCUUUUGUAUUUUAUUUUCUCCCGGACUUGUGCCUGACAAUUAGAAAAAUAACUCAGCAGAUAUCUUCAAAAGGUUGGAAUUCUUGGUGUUAUUUUCCAUUUUUAAUGUAAUCAUACAUUAUUCUCUUAGUAGGUCAAAGUGGUUUUCUUCCCAUUGUACUUGUGAGAACAUGUAUUACUAAUUAUACUGUUAAAAGAUCAGAUGUCUAGAUAAAACUGCCCUUCCAGAGAAAUAGUGAACUGAGGACCAUUCCUAGAGCUGACUGCUCUGUGAGGCAGUGAGUGUAAGCAGUAAGAGACCCCAAACCCGACAGUCACAGAAUAUCCAUAUUCAGAACAGCCAGUGUUAAUUGUUCAUUUCUCUCUGUGCAAUGCAACCAAGUAUUUCAGCACGCAUCUGACUGAACAUGGGCAAACUGUGGACAGAAGAGGCCAUCAGUGUUGUAUUCUGAACUGUGUCUGCAAGUAGGUGAUACUGCUUUUGACCUGGAAUGGUGGGCUGUGGUGAGGUUUGAUGUUAUGCAAAGUCUUGCUGUCUGCUUGUACACAACUGGAUUUCUUCAAAAGCUGAAUCAAAACCUGUCCUGGAAAAAGCUAUUUAAUCUCAUGUUCAAAGCCAAGCAAAGGUAUACCCAGUAUCUCUCCUGAUAUAAGCUAUGUAAAUAUUUAAUUGCCCUCACAGUCAGGAAAUGUCAACAUUGGGUUUGUCUAGCUACAGUUUCCAACAAAUGGAUACCAUUCUGCCUUUGUCAGCAAGGUUGAAAAGGUCAUACUGUUGAGGUCUCUUUUCCAUGUAUAAACAUCUGUUCAAAGUAA